rnacentral:sRNA from 1 species
UGCAGGGCAGGGCAGGAGUGUGUUUGAUGUGUCCUGGGAACAGCCCUGAGGCCGUCAUGUGGCCGGAGUGCUGCAGGUGUCAAGGAAACUGUAGGAGAUGUCUCCUGAGUGUGAUGGGAUAUAACCAGAUUUCCAGAAGGAACUGACAUGAUCUGACUUAAAAAGAGCUGUGCCAGGCCUGAAGCUUAAGAUUGCUGGGAAAUCUUUACCCACAGAGAAGUUUGCCAUCCGGAAGUCCCGGCGCUACCUCUCCUCCAACCCUAUCUCGCUGCCAGUGCCUGCUCUGGAAAUGAUGUACAUCUGGAACGGCUACGCUGUGAUUGGGAAGCAGCCUAAACUCACGGAUGGGAUACUUGAGAUUAUCAUUAAGGCUGAAGAGAUGCUGGAGAAAGGCCCAGAGAACGAGUACUCAGUGGAUGACGAGUGCUUGGUGAAAUUGUUGAAAGGCCUGUGUCUGAAAUACCUGGGCCGUGUCCAGGAGGCCGAGAAGAAUUUUAGGAGCAUCUGUGCCAAUGAAAAGAAGAUUAAAUAUGACCACUACUUGAUCCCAAACGCCCUGCUGGAGCUGGCCCUGCUGCUUAUGGAGCAAGGCAGAAACGAAGAGGCCAUCAAACUCUUGGAAUCUGCCAAACAAAACUACAAGAAUUACUCCAUGGAGUCAAGGACACACUUUCGAAUCCAGGCAGCCACACUCCAAGCCAAGUCUUCCCUAGAGAACAGCAGCAGAUCCAUGGUCUCAUCAGUGUCCUUGUAGCUUUGUGCAGCAGUUCCGGGCUGGAAGACAGAGACAGCUGGACAGAGCUCCUGAAAACAUUUCAAAAUAUCCCCUCCCCCUGCCCUGCCCUGCCUUUGGGGCCCACCGGCGCUCCAGUUGGAUGGCACAACAUGGUGUAUCCGUGCAGAAGCUGAGCUGGCAUUUUCACCA